AAUGAACGCUGGCGGCAGGCCUAACACAUGCAAGUCGAGCGGACGAAGGAAGCUUGCGCCUGGAUUCAGCGGCGGACGGGUGAGUAAUGCCCAGGAAGCUGCCUGGUAGUGGGGGAUAACGUACGGAAAGGGGAGCUAAUAUAGUAUAGGACCUGAGGGAGAAAGGGGGGGAUCAAUGGAGCACACGGGAUUAGAUGAGCCUAGGUCGCAUUAGCUAGUUGGUGGGGUAAAGGCCUACCAAGGCGACGAUCCGUAACUGGUCUGAGAGGAUGAUCAGUCACACUGGAACUGAGACACGGUCCAGACUCCUACGGGAGGCAGCAGUGGGGAAUCUUCGGCAAUGGGCGAAAGCCUGAUCCAGCCAUGCCGCGUGUGUGAUGAAGGUCUUCGGAUUGUAAAGCUCUUUUAGUUGGGAGGAACAGCAGUAAGUUAAUACCUUGCUGUUUUGACGUUACCAACAGAAUAAGCACCGGCUAACUUCGUG
rnacentral:rRNA from 1 species